rnacentral:rRNA from 1 species
GGGCAAGUCUGGUGCCAGCAGCCGCGGUAAUUCCAGCUCCAAUAGCGUAUAUUAAAGUUGUUGCAGUUAAAAAGCUCGUAGUUGGAUUUCUGUUAAUAAUUUAUAUAAAAUAUUUUGAUGAAUAUUUAUAUAAUAUUAACAUAAUUCAUAUUACUAUUUUUUUUUUUAGUAUAUGAAAUUUUACUUUGAGAAAAUUAGAGUGCUUAAAGCAGGCAUAUGCCUUGAAUACUCCAGCAUGGAAUAAUAUUAAAGAUUUUUAUCUUUUUUAUUGGUUCUAAGAUAAGAAUAAUGAUUAAUAGGGACAGUUGGGGGCAUUUGUAUUUAACAGUCAGAGGUGAAAUUCUUAGAUUUGUUAAAGACAAACUAAUGCGAAAGCAUUUGCCAAGGAUGUUUUCAUUAAUCAAGAACGAAAGUUAGGGGAUCGAAGACGAUCAGAUACCGUCGUAGUCUUAACCAUAAACUAUGCC